rnacentral:rRNA from 1 species
UGAGGAAUAUUGGUCAAUGGGCGAGAGCCUGAACCAGCCAAGUAGCGUGCAGGAUGACGGCCCUAUGGGUUGUAAACUGCUUUUGUAUGGGGAUAAAGUCAAUCACGUGUGAUUGUUUGCAGGUACCAUACGAAUAAGGACCGGCUAAUUCCGUGCCAGCAGCCGCGGUAAUACGGAAGGUCCGGGCGUUAUCCGGAUUUAUUGGGUUUAAAGGGAGCGUAGGCUGGAGAUUAAGUGUGUUGUGAAAUGUAGACGCUCAACGUCUGACUUGCAGCGCGUACUGGUUUCCUUGAGUACGCACAACGUUGGCGGAAUUCGUCGUGUAGCGGUGAAAUGCUUAGAUAUGACGAAGAACUCCGAUUGCGAAGGCAGCUGACGGGAGCGCAACUGACGCUGAAGCUCGAAGGUGCGGGUAUCGAACAGGAUUAGAUACCCUGGUAGUCCGCACAGUAAACGAUGGAUGCCCGCUGUUGGUACGUGGUAUCAGCGGCUAAGCGAAAGCAUUAAGCAUCCCACCUGGGGAGUACGCCGGCACGGU